rnacentral:rRNA from 2 species
UCGAGAAUUUUUCUCAAUGGGGGAAACCCUGAAGGAGCGACGCCGCGUGGAGGAUGAAGGUCUUCGGAUUGUAAACUCCUGUCAUUGGUGAACAAAGCCUUCGGUUAACUGCCGACGGGAUUGCUAGUAGCCAAAGAGGAAGAGACGGCUAACUCUGUGCCAGCAGCCGCGGUAAUACAGAGGUCUCAAGCGUUGUUCGGAAUUAUUGGGCGUAAAGGGUGCGUAGGCGGCAGGGUAAGUUAGAUGUGAAAUACCGGUGCUUAACAUCGGAAUUGCAUUUAAGACUGCCUUGCUUGAGCAUUAGAGAGGAGACUGGAAUUUACGGUGUAGCAGUGAAAUGCGUAGAUAUCGUAAGGAAGACCAGUGGCGAAAGCGAGUCUCUGGCUAAAUGCUGACGCUGAGGCACGAAAGCUGGGGGAGCAAACG